GGGUCGGUAGCUCAGUUGGUAGAGCAGCGGACUUUUAAUCCGAAGGUCGUGGGUUCGAGUCCCACCCGGCCCA
rnacentral:tRNA from 1 species